rnacentral:lncRNA from 1 species
CUUGCCUCAGCCACCCAGGUCUCUGGGAUUACAGGUGUGUGUCAUGGUACCCAGCAUAUCUAAUCAUUUGAUUCCUCUUGUAGCCUUUCUUUAGGGAAAUGAAAAUUUAUCUAGGAUGAGUCUGUGUGUGGCUGCCACUUCCUUGGAGCAUCCAAUAAGUAGGCCACUAUGGCCUCUGUAGUCUUUGAUGGCCAUGAGUGCCUUAGACCAGGUUUGGCUGACAAACCAGGCAAAUUUCUGAGUGAGCAAGGUCUCCAACUUCAUCUCUUAGGGAUCGCUAGAAAGAAGUCCACCUUGGAUUACACAAGGAGUUAGAGAUAUAAACUUUAUGUCCUAUUUCUGACACUAGGGCCCCUGAGCCUCUAGCACCCCUGUAGCGCAGGCAUCUUGUGUCAUUUGAUUUUUCCUCAAAGAAGAUACCCUUGGAUACUUUUGCAUCAAGUGCAGAAUGGGACCUUCACAGAAUAGAAAGUCAUGGACUGACUGACUGAUUGAUUUGUACUGGGGCUAGAACUCAGGGGUGCUUUUUACCCCAGCCUCUUUUUUUUUUUUGAAACAGGGUCUCAAUUGCUGAGACUGGCUUUAAACUUGUGAUCCUCCUACCUCAGCGUCUCAGGUCUCUAGGAUUACAGGUGUGCACCACUACAUCUGGAUUUAUAUUUUUAACUCAAAAGUUCAAUCUUGGCCAAGGCAAACCUUUAUUUCUUUUUUAAAUUUGUUUAUUUAUUUGUUCUAAUUUGUUAUACAUGACAGCAGAAUGCAUUUCAGUUAAUAGUACACAAAUGGAGUACAAUUUUUCAUUUCUCUGUACGCAAAGUAGAGUCACACCAUUCGUGUCUUCAUACAUGUACCUAGGGAAAUGAUAUCCAUCUCGGUCUACCAUCUUUCCUACCCCCAUCAAGGCAACCUUCUUUUCAUAUCAGUUUCUGACCUAUAAAAUGAUACUAUUAACUAAAUAUGAAAACUAAUAGUAUGGAGCUCUAUGAAAAAAAACUUUCUAUAUAUAGUCUUUAUGAUUCCAUGGCUCAGAACUCUAGUAUAAUUUCCACAGCAGGAGUUUAUGUGAAUCUAGGGGCAGUUUAAGGUGCUUAGUGUGAAUGACUGGUAUGGGAGUCAAGAGGGUGGUGACAGGCCAAAGAGAAUAGGUAUUCAAGAGACCUAGUCCAAACAUCUAUGAAGAAGACCCAAAUCAUAAGAGGCCUUCUCUCCUUCCUUGUUACUCUCUAAAGGCCAGAGGAGGUGUUUGAGACUGCAUCUCAAAACCUGUCAUGUGGUAGGCAACUUGGGGACCCUAGUGGAGCAAGCGAACUGAUGAAUCCUGCGCAGUGUCAGACAUCUGACCAAAUAAUUGGGGGAGGUAUUUCAGUAACCCUUGACUUUCCUUAACUUGCCUGAGUACUGAAUUAUGGUAAUAGUUACCUUUUUGUUGUUAAUUAGCUCUCCUGUAUAUCAGGAACUUUAAUAUGUAUUGUCUAAUAGUCACAAUGACCUUGCAAGGUAGAUCUCCAUUUUACACAAGACAGUUGAGGCACAGAGAGGAUAAAAAACUGCCAAGGCAUCUUUAACUACUCAGUGGUAGAGUGUACUUGGGCAUAGGUCUGUUUCAUGUCAAACUCAAACUCUACAUUUCUGGUUUGUCUCUAGUGGAUUAGUUUAGACUACAAAAGAACCCAGGCACUGGGCCACCAGAGCUUGCUGCCUCUGCCUCACAUUCCCUUGAUGCUGAAUGUGACAGAUGAACACUUUAUACCUUGGUUUACUUCUCAGUCACUUGGGGAUUUGGGAUUGAUGAGGAGAAGGCCUCAGAUAGCUUUUAAGAGGUGCAGCUAUUAGUAGUAACUUUAAAACCUUGCAUGAAGAAAGUUUCAUAGAAUACUAGUUAAUAACUUGAAUGAAGAAACUUCCAAUUUUAAAUGAACCCUGCAUAAAGAAUACAAGACAUUCUUGAGGAUAUAAUGGGGGAAAGAUCCUGAAAUUUUAAUUUUUUUACUUCGGUGGAAAAUCCAUAUGUUACAUGCAAAUGGGAUAAUUAGAAUGAGGUCAGACAUGCUAACACAAUACCCUGAUGUUUAUCUCAUGUAACUAAGUCUGCAGAGAAAGACUCAUUUGAAUAUGUCUUUUGUCCCCAUCUUUCUUUAUAUGAAACACAGAACAGCAUCUUUUGACAAAGGCCAAAUUCCUGAUGGGCAUCUCUGAGGAAGUAAACAUUUCCAAGAUUGCCAGAGCUAAAGGAGAUACCCAAAACAAGACUGAUUCUAUUGAAACUACAAGCAUAAUAUCUUAGGUUGAAGGGUUUCUCUACAUCUCUAAGAGGAAGUCACUGCUUCUCCAACCCCCACUUCACCUGUAGUAAGGAUUUGCACAUGAAGGAAUCUGUCUGACCAACUAUGUUUCCUCUCUCUCCAGAACCCCCACUCAGAGAAGAUGCCAAGACAUUCCUCUGUUUGCCCAUUAGCAGCCAGGGAUAUAUGCAAGCCAGUUUGAAGACUUCUGUGUUGAAAACAAAUAGUUGUGUUAUUGUGUAAGAGGAAGAUUGUGUGUGUGUCAUCAUUUUGUGCUAAGUCUUCUUUAAAUGAAAACUUGAUUAGUCCUAAGUCUAAUCCAAGUUUUCAUUUCAUUUCCUAUAAGUGAACCCCCUAUCCCCUAAAUCUAGUGUCUCUGUUCCGUCUCUGGCUUCUCUUUUUCCUUUAAUUCUGUGCAUCUUUCCAGACAUUUCCUGUGUAUGGAACACUGGGUAGGGAACGAAGGAAACAUAAGAUAAAAAGUGAUCCUUGUUUCUGAGCACCUCAGAGUUUUGUGUGGGGAGGUAGACACAUAAACUCCAUUUCCCUGAGGUUUGGGGUUUUGAGCUCAUCACCACCCUCCCCCUGUAGUUUCUCUUAUUCCUGUUUUGUUUUAUUUUUAAUAUAUUUUUUAGUUGUAGUUGGAUACAAUACCUUUAUUUUAUUCAUUUUUAUGUGGUGUUGAGGAUCAAACCUAGCGUCUCGCACGUGCUAGAUGAGCGCUCAACCGCUGAGUCAUAACCCCAGCCCGUUCCUGUUUACUUUAAGGUGGGGAACAUUCUAUUUAUGCAUUUGGGAAAUCCUGUAUUACAGAGUAAUAGCUGCAAGUAAAAUUUGUUUAGCUCCUUUCACAAAAGAAGGGACAUUACUCUCCCUGUUGACUUACAGAGAAGAACAAACCCUGAUAAAGAUGGAUUCCAAACAGAGAUCCAAGGAGCAAGUCCUCAUUGCGCCAUCAAUAGGCUGUCACCCAAGCCAGCGCUGGGAUGGGCCAAAUAAAGGGAACUCAGUGAUCUUAGGGCCACACUCUCCUUAACCUGCUCUCCCAAACCUGAGGUGUUGACUUUGGCAGUGGGGAACUGGCCACUUGCCUGCAGCUCACUUAAUGAAAUUAAAAUCUAGAGUGGAUGGGGAGAGGGAGGCAUUUUAACAACAAUCAGAAGGGUCUGUACUAUGUCAGGAUAAUCAGGAUGGCAGAGAAAAGACAAAGUAAUGCCAUUUCCAAUGAAUGCAAAGACAUGAAGAGACAAAUCAAGUCUCUGAACAGCUCUGAUGUUGGUUUGUAACCACUGUGGGUAGAAAUACUCGGCUUCAUUCCAGUUUCCUUCACAUUGGCCAAACUCAGGUAGCCAGAGUCCCUGGUUAUCAUUCUGCCAUGUGCUGCAGUUGAUGCCUGUUCUCUCAUAGGUUUGAGCAGUUGGUUCUAUUUUUUUUUUUUUUUUUUUUUAGUUUUUCGGCAGACACAACAUCUUUGUAUGUGGUGCUGAGGAUCGAACCCGGGCCGCACGCAUGCCAGGCAAGCGCGCUACCGAUUGAGCCACAUCCCCAGCCCUGACAGUUGGUUCUUUAAACUGAGCUGGAUUGUGGCUGGAUUGGCCUUCUGUCAGUCAGGUCCGUGCCUCAGUAAAACCGGCUUUCUGUAGGCUUCCUUUCCCAAAGGGAUUUUCCUGUGAAACCUUUCAUCAUAAUGUCAACUUCUGUCUCCUCAGAAAGUCAAAGUAAUGAAAUUAAACUUGAGUAUUUCUCUCUGGACUUGAUGUCCUACUCAAGGUAGACAGAUGUGUCAGAUCCCGUCAGGUUCACGUGUACAGCUCUGGAGAUGUCCAGAGUGGGGGUGCUCAGUGGCCAUCCAUCUGCAGAUUCCACAAUGGUUUUGAUUUCAACUCUGACCUAUUAUAUCCCCAAAACCUUGAAAAUACUAUUGGCAUCCAUGCUGUGUCUUCCAGACAGUCUCUCACACCCGGAAUCAGC